UGGGCCAUUGUCCCCUUUGGAAGCCA
rnacentral:piRNA from 1 species